AUGAGUGAGACGGUGAAGGUGAUGAGCACUUUUGGCAGCAUAUACGGCCAUCGUCCGGAGGUGGCCCUGAGGCUCAAGGGAAUACCUUACGAGCUGCUCCUGGAAGACCUGCCCAACAACAAGAGCGAGUUGCUGCUCACGCACAACCCUGUCCACAAACUGGUCCCCGUGCUCCUACACGGCGAUAAGUCCAUCUGCGAGUCGCUCAUCAUCGUCGAGUACAUCGACGAGGCCUUCGAGGGGCCGCGGCUGCUGCCGGCUGACCCCUACGAGAGGGCCACGGCCCGCUUCUGGGCGCAGUUCAUCGACCAAAAGUUUGCUAGGCCGUUCUGGAUGUCGAUAUGUAUGGCUGAUGGUGACAAGGAAGAGGAGGAGAACUUCUUGAAGGAAGCCAAGAAGAAUCUGCUGCUUCUCGAGGGGCAGCUCAAGGGGAACAGGUUCUUUGGAGGCGACUCCAUUGGCCUUGUGGACAUAGCUGCAAGUGGGUUAGCUCGCUGGCUUGGAGCCUUCGAAGAGAUCUCCGGGGUUAAUCUACUCACAGAUGAACAGUUCCCUGCUCUGUGCCGCUGGGCGAAAGAAUAUGCCGGCGAUGAGCGUGCUAAGGAGUGCCUGCCGAACAUGGAUGAACUGGUCGCCAAGAUCACUGCAGUGAAGAAGUUUCUAGCAAUGGCAGAGGUUCAGAAGUGA
rnacentral:rRNA from 1 species